rnacentral:rRNA from 1 species
UACAGGGGGUGCAAACGUUGCUCGGAAUCAUUGGGCGUAAAGCGCACGUAGGCGGUCUGUUAUGUCGGAUGUGAAAGCCCUUGGCUUAACUGAGGAAGUGCAUCCGAAACUGGCAGGCUAGAGUACUAAAGAGGGUCGCGGAAUUCCCGGUGUAGAGGUGAAAUUCGUAGAUAUCUGGAGGAACACCGGUGGCGAAGGCGGCGUCCUGGACCAACACUGACACUGAUGAGCGAAAGCCAGGGGAGCAAACGGG